GAUGAACGCUGGCGGCGUGCCUAAUACAUGCAAGUCGAGCGAACGGACGAGAAGCUUGCUUUUCUGAUGUUAGCGGCGGACGGGUGAGUAACACGUGGAUAACCUACCUAUAAGACUGGGAUAACUUCGGGAAACCGGAGCUAAUACCGGAUAAUAUUUUGAACCGCAUGGUUCAAAAGUGAAAGACGGUCUUGCUGUCACUUAUAGAUGGAUCCGCGCUGCAUUAGCUAGUUGGUAAGGUAACGGCUUACCAAGGCAACGAUGCAUAGCCGACCUGAGAGGGUGAUCGGCCAAACUGGAACGGAGACACGGUCCAGACUCCUACGGGAGGAAGCAGUAGGGAAUCUUCCGCAAUGGGCGAAAGCCUGACGGAGCAACGCCGCGUGAGUGAUGAAGGUCUUCGGAUCGUAAAACUCUGUUAUUAGGGAAGAACAUAUGUGUAAGUAACUGUGCACAUCUUGACGGUACCUAAUCAGAAAGCCACGGCUAACUACGUG
rnacentral:rRNA from 1 species